rnacentral:rRNA from 1 species
GUCGAGAAUCUUCGGCAAUGGGCGAAAGCCUGACCGAGCGAUGCCGCGUGAGGGAUGAAGGCCUUCGGGUCGUAAACCUCUGUCACCCGGGACGAAGAAUGUGACGGUACCGGGAGAGGAAGCACCGGCUAACUACGUGCCAGCAGCCGCGGUAAUACGUAGGGUGCGAGCGUUAUUCGGAUUUACUGGGCGUAAAGGGUCCGCAGGGGGUUUGCCAAGUCCGAUGUGAAAUACCGCAGCUUAACUGUGGAACGGCAUUGGAUACUGGCGAACUAGAGUGCAUGAUGGGUGAGCGGAAUUCCUGGUGUAGCGGUGGAAUGCGUAGAUAUCAGGAAGAACACCGAUGGCGAAGGCGGCUCACUGGCGUGCAACUGACCCUCAGGGACGAAAGCGUGGGGAGCAAACAGGAUUAGAUACCCCAGUAGUCC